UACGUAGGUGACCAGCGUUGUCCGGAUUUACUGGGCGUAAAGAGCGCGCAGGCGGUCGUUCAAGUCGAGUGUGAAAGCCCCCGGCUCAACUGGGGAGGGUCAUUCGAUACUGAUCGACUUGAAGGCAGGAGAGGGAAGUGGAAUUCCCGGUGUAGUGGUGAAAUGCGCAGAUAUCAGGAGGAACACCGGUGGCGAAGGCGGGUCUCUGGGCCGACACUGACGCUGAGGAGCGAAAGCGUGGGGAGCGAACAGG
rnacentral:rRNA from 1 species